rnacentral:tRNA from 1 species
GUGGGCCUAGUUUAGAUAUUAAUAGCAAAAUUUAGCUUUGAAGCAGCUUAGAGGGUAAGGACCGACCCACA